rnacentral:rRNA from 1 species
GCUUAACACAUGCAAGUCGAGCGAGAAUCGUUUUGCUGAAGGCUUCGGUCUGACGCAGAAUGAGGAAAGCGGCGAACGGGUGAGUAACGCGUGGGCAACCUGGCCUUAAGAAAAGGAUAGCCCCCGGAAACGGGGAGUAAUACUUUAUGAGAAUGAAAGAGGGCAUCCUACUUUCAUUCAAAGCGCAAGCGCUUAAGGAUGGGCCCGCGUAUCAUUAGCUAGUUGGUGAGAUAACAGCCCACCAAGGCAACGAUGAUUAGCCGGGCUGAGAGGGCGAACGGCCACAUGGGAACUGAGAGACGGUCCAAACUCCUACGGGGGGCAGCAGUGGGGAAUAUUGCGCAAUGGAGAAGAACUCUGACGCAGCAAUACCGCGUGAGCGAAGAAGGUCUUCGGAUCGUAAAGCUCUGUUAUCAGGGAAGAAGAAAAUGACGGUACCUGGUGAGCAAGUCCCGGCUAACUACGUGCCAGCCGCCGCCGUAA